rnacentral:rRNA from 1 species
GAUGGCGACCGGCGCACGGGUGAGUAACGCGUAUGCAACCUGCCCGAUACCGGGGUAUAGCCCAUGGAAACGUGGAUUAACACCCCAUAGUACUUUUAUCCUGCCUGGGAUGGGAGUUAAAUGUUCAAGGUAUCGGAUGGGCAUGCGUUCUAUUAGUUAGUUGGCGGGGUAACAGCCCACCAAGACGAUGAUAGGUAGGGGUUCUGAGAGGAAGGUCCCCCACAUUGGAACUGAGACACGGUCCAA